rnacentral:lncRNA from 1 species
UAAAGUAGGGCAGUGACCCUUGGGAAUGUGAAAGAAGAAAUGGGCUGUGAUUGUACAUAGAGGGUUGAGGUUAGACCCAAGGUGGGACCUCCCAUUGGGAUAACAUUGAUCUCCAAACAAGUUUGCUUUUUUUGCUCUGAAAUGGGGAUAUCCACAGCCAGGUUGGGAUCCUACACUUCCUCUACAUCCUCUUCCUCUUUUAUUUCCCCUCACUUUGGAGGAUGAAGGAAAGUGUAUUUGGACUAAUCAACACUAGCCUCAGCUGAAGCUCUUGAGGAGGAAAUCCAGCUGUGAAGAAGAGGAGUCUGCUGCUUUGGAAUCACCCCCUUGGAUGGGUUUCCUGAUACUCCUGGGUCAUGCCACACCCUCCUGGCUGGCUGGGCAAGAGAGGCUGAGAGAAGCAGCAGUCUAGAGGUGGGGUGUAGGUAAAAUGACCGCCUGAGAUAUGUGGAGAAAGGAGACAGGAAAGGGGCUUGUCUCCCACCUCAAGGUCAUCAGACUGAGUUAUUUUGCAUUCAAAGUCACAGAAACCUAGAACCAUGGGGCAGAAGUCUAGAAUUCUGGCAUGUUAGAAUCUCAUCCACUGGUCAGGGUCCAGGCAUAUAUUCUAGAAUAUAUGCCUUCUAAACAUCGAAAAGGACCUCAGGGUAAUGUGGGAAGCCUCCUAAGCUGUCUCAAGGAGCAGACUUCCUCUCCUGGAAUCACCCCUUUCAGUACCAGAGGAAUAUGCUGAAACCCUCUGACAGUCCUAGUUUUGCCUGGGAGCCGGGAGCAUGCCUUACCCAGGAUAGCUCUGCACACAGUUGGAGACCAUGCAUGAGUCUCCUCAUCUUGUCCCAGCAAGUUCCCUACCACAUCUCCCAGACAUUCCCCUAAGAAGGUAUUAAAUCCUCUAGAAGCAUUCCUAUCAGCCAGUGACCUUCACAAGAUGCCCUGACCGUCCCCUAGGACAACAUAGUGAUGGUCUGUAACAGGUUAGAGAACUGGGUCUCUAACAGAUCACCUCAUUACCAAAGGUGUGCCCUCUGGUGAUGGGGCCCAAGACUGUAAUAAAAC